AACGAACGCUGGCGGCGCGCCUAACACAUGCAAGUCGAACGAGAAUCCGGGGCAACCCGGUAGUAAAGUGGCAAAACGGGUGAGGAAUACAUGGGUAACCUACCCUUGAGAAGGGAAUAACCCGCCGAAAGGUGAGCUAAUACCCUAUACGCUAUCUUUUUUUCGAAAAGGAUAGGAAAGCCGGGUCGAGGACCUGGUACUCAAGGAGGGGCUCAUGUCCUAUCAGCUUGUUGGUGGGGUAACGGCCUACCAAGGCUACGACGGGUAGCUGGUCUGAGAGGAUGAUCAGCCACACUGGCACUGAGAUACGGGCCAGACUCCUACGGGAGGCAGCAGUGAGGAAUAUUGCGCAAUGGGCGAAAGCCUGACGCAGCGA
rnacentral:rRNA from 1 species